UAAACUUCCCUCUUUUAUAAUCUGCUAUAUAAUAGCGUACCUUUUGCAUUAUGGGUCAGCGACUUAAUAAACGUAAGAUAAGCAUGAAGCUUACUGAGAUUUCUAUAAUAUAAA
rnacentral:rRNA from 1 species